CAACCCCUAAGCCUAGCUUAUUGUUGGGAGACCGCGGUCAGCCGCGGCUCCUCAAAGUCAGUGGCGGAGAGACGGUGUCCUCUGAGCGUAGUAAAUAACUUUCUCGCUUCUGUCAGGCGCCGGCCCCCUUGCCAUUAAACACCCAAUUUUCUAAU
rnacentral:misc_RNA from 1 species